GAGUUUGAUCGUGGCUCAGAGCGAACGUUAGCGGCGCGCCUAACACAUGCAAGUCGAGCGCGAAAGGGAGCAAUCCUGAGUAAAGCGGCGCACGGGUGCGUAACACGUAGGUAACCUGCCCUAUGGAGGGGGAUAACGUUCCGAAAGGAGCGCUAAUACCGCAUACAGCGCCUUGGGGAAACCUGGGGCGGCAAAGGUUGGGAUUCGCAAGAACCAAUCGCCAUGGGAGGGGCCUGCGGCCCAUCAGUUAGUUGGUGAGGUAAAGGCUCACCAAGACGAAGACGGGUAGCUGGUCUGAGAGGAUGAUCAGCCACACUGGUACUGGAACACGGACCAGACUCCUACGGGAGGCAGCAGUGGGGAAUCUUGGUCAAUGGGCGCAAGCCUGAACCAGCGACGCCGCGUGAGUGAUGAAGGCCUU
rnacentral:rRNA from 1 species